rnacentral:lncRNA from 1 species
CUUAAGAGAAUGAAUAAAACAUGUUAAACUAGGAUCAUAUCUUAUAGAGGAAGUCAAAAGUCAUAUAAACUGAAAUGUUUUAAAAUAUUGUAGAAGUCAUAAAAGAAGAGCAUAUAAGCUAGUGGUUCAAAUUUAUACUCAGCCUACUCACAAAGUAUUAAAAUGAAGAUAGGAUAACAGGAUUUCUGUGGGUAAAAACACAACAGUGACUAUCUGGAGCAGUGGUGCUAGAGCUUCAUUCAACAAAAGAAUCGUGUUAAAGACUUAUAACAAAUUCAGUGAUCUG